rnacentral:rRNA from 1 species
AAUAUUGGACAAUGGGGGCAACCCUGAUCCAGCCAUGCCGCGUGUGUGAAGAAGGUCUUCGGAUUGUAAAGCUCUUUAAGUUGGGAGGAAGGGCUUUAGGUUAUUACCCUGUAGCUUUGACGUUACAAACAGAACAACCACCGGCUAACUCUGUCCCAGCAGCCGCGGUAAUCCAAAGGGUCCAGGCGUUAAUCGGAAUUACUGGGCGUAAAGCGCGCGUAGGUGGUUCAGUAAGAUGGGUGUGAAAUCCCCGGGCUUAACCUGGGAACUGCUUUCAUAACUGCUGAGCUAGAGUACGGUAGAGGGUAGUGGAAUUUCCUGUGUAGCGGUGAAAUGCGUAGAUAUCGGAAGGAACACCAGUGGCGAAGGCGACUACCUGGACUGAUACUGACACUGAGGUGCGAAAGCGUGGGGAGCAAAC